rnacentral:rRNA from 1 species
CACGUAGGGGACGAGCGUUGUCCGGAUUCAUUGGGCGUAAAGCGCGCGUAGGCGGCCCGGCAAGUCGGAUGUGAAAACCUGGGGCUCAACCCCAGGCGUGCACCCGAUACUCCCGGGCUGGAGGCAGGUAGGGGAGAUCGGAAUUCCUGGUGUAGCGGUGGAAUGCGCAGAUAUCAGGAGGAACACCGAUGGCGAAGGCAGUUCUCUGGGCCGUUACUGACGCUGAGGAGCGAAAGCGUGGGGAGCGAACAGG